UACGGAGGGUGCAAGCGUUGUUCGGAAUUACUGGGCGUAAAGCGCGCGUAGGCGGACUAUUAAGUCAGGGGUGAAAUCCAGGGACUCAACCCCGGAACUGCCUUUGAAACUGCAAGUCUUGAGUCCGAGAGAGGUGAGUGGAAUUCCGAGUGGAGAGGUGAAAUUCGUAGAUAUUCGGAAGAACACCAGUGGCGAAGGCGGCUCACUGGCUCGGUACUGACGCUGAGGUGCGAAAGCGUGGGGAGCAAACAGG
rnacentral:misc_RNA from 1 species